AAGGCAGCUCUAUCUUAUCGACUUGAUAAACAAGUAGGAAAGUCCGGGCACCAAAGAGUAGUAUAGCGGAUAACAUCCGUCCGAUGUAAAUCGAGGACAAGUGCAACAGAAAGUAUGUACAGGUUAUGCUGUAGUGAAACCAGGUAAACUCUAUACGGUGCAAUGCCACGUAUAUUAGAAAUUGAGUGUUACUCGCACGAUUCUAAGGGGUAGGCAGAUUGAUUUCGUUAGUAAUUUCGAAACUAGAUAAAUGAUAAGAGCCUUGUUGUAAGGAUACAGAACCCGGCUUAUUGAGCUGCUUUUAAA
rnacentral:RNase_P_RNA from 1 species